rnacentral:rRNA from 1 species
AUUGAACGCUGGCGGCAUGCUUUACACAUGCAAGUCGAACGGUAACAGGGAGCUUGCUCCGCUGACGAGUGGCGAACGGGUGAGUAAUGCGUCGGAACGUGCCGAGUAGUGGGGGAUAACGCAUCGAAAGGUGUGCUAAUACCGCAUACGAACUGAGGUUGAAAGUGGGGGACCUUCGGGCCUCACGCUAUUCGAGCGGCCGACGUCUGAUUAGCUAGUUGGUGAGGUAAAGGCUCACCAAGGCGACGAUCAGUAGUGGGUCUGAGAGGAUGAGCCGCCACAAUGGGACGGGGACACGGCCCAGACUCCUACGGGAGGCAGCAGUGGGGAAUUUUGGACAAUGGGCGCAAGCCUGAUCCAGCCAUGCCGCGUGUCUGAAGAAGGCCUUCGGGUUGUAAAGGACUUUUGUCCGGGAGCAAAUGCUGGUGGCUAACAUCCACCGGAGCUGAGAGUACCGGAAGAAUAAGCACCGGCUAACUACGUGCCAGCCGCCGCCGUAAUAC